GACAAAGGAUGCAAGCGUUAUCCGGAAUGAUUGGGCGUAAAGCGUAUGUAGGUGGCUUUUUAAGUCCGCCGUCAAAUCCCAGGGCUCAACCCUGGACAGGCGGUGGAUAGUACCAAGCUGGAGUACGGUAGGGGCAGAGGGAAUUUCCGGUGGAGCGGUAAAAUGCGUAGAGAUCGGAAAGAACACCAACAGCGAAAGCACUCUGCUGGGCCGACACUGACACUGAGAGACGAAAGCUAGGGGAGUGAAUAGG
rnacentral:rRNA from 1 species